CUUGAGCUCUGGGCUCUGGGCCCGGGGCGGGUAUCUGACUCACGCCAGCAGCAUCAGGCUAGAGAGGAACAGCCGCCAGAGAUCCAUCCGGCUGGGGCCUGAGGCAGUGGACCUUGGUGGAGAGGGAUUGUAAGGGUUCCUCCGGCUAAGGCAGAUAUGCCUUCAUGAUGUCCCAGGGGCAGCAGGCCCUCUGUCCUGAGUGUGUGAGAGGCCUGGAUCCUGAAGGUCAUUGACCUUGCCCUGGACUCGUUCUUGGAGAAGAAAACAGGAUGGGGCUGGGUAGGGUCCAUCCUGGGACCCAGUGAUGCAUGCCAGGCUCACUGCUGUGCCAGGUGGCCUCCAAGCUCCCACCACACUCCCUCCAACCUUCUGCAUCCUGAAGAUGCUGCAGUCUAGGGCCUGGACUCUGGGAGAAUGGUCAGGAGCCUUGCCCUGCCCCUGAAUAUGCCAGAGGACUCUGAGGAACUCCGGAUUGCAGUUCCUGACUCACUCUGUGGAGACCAUGAUUCUUCCUCGAGAUCAAUCUCCAAUCCAAUUUUGGAAACACAGCAGGACAGAUAGUAAGGAUCAAAAGACACUUGCUGAUGGCUUGCUGAUGGCGGACAGUGUGACCGGCUACCUCUCCCUUCUGCUGCCUUGAUGGAGUGUAUUCCUUCUCCAACCUCGGACCAAAUGUGUAUGUGGGGCCGAGCCUGAAGGUACACACAGGUGCAAGUACCUGCAGAAGCCAGAAGAGGGUGUUGGAUCCCCUGGAACUGUGAGCUGCCUGAUGUGGGUGUUGGGACCAGAACUCAGGUCCUCUGGAAGAGAAGCCAAGAGCUCCUAACAGCUGAGCCGUCUCUUCAGCACACCCCCUCCGAAAUCCUGCAAGCUGUGGGGUUUUAAUGGAGGUAUUGACAGGAGAGAGAACACUUCCAGAGGGGGGUCCUUGUUCAGGGUUCAAAUCCUUCAGCUCUGCACUGGGUAACAGGAGAGAGAGGCCCUGCAUAGGCUGCCUCGGGGGACCUGGGUUCACGCCAGGCACCAGUAGCUUCCUGGGCAUCUCUCAGAGGCGACUCCACAGCAGCGGACAGCCUGCUAAUUAGGACACGCUCUUUAUGACUUUGUAUUCCAAGAUGUCAUUUACUAGACUCGGGGUUGGGGGGGGUGGGAGU